GGAUGUGAGGGCAAUCUGGCAGCGGCAUCUGUCACCCCAUUGAUCGCCAGGGUUGGUUUGGCUGAUCUGGCUGGCUGGCUAAGCGGGUGUCCCCUUCCUUCCUCACCGCUCCAUGUGUGUCCCUCCUGAAGCAAGACGUCGACCUUCCCUGAAUAGAGGAGGACCGGUCUUCAGUCAAGGGUAUAGGAGUAGCUGUACUCCCCUGCUAGAACCUCCAAACAAGCUCUCAAGGUAGGGUCUCACUCUAGCCUAGGUUGACCUGGAACCACUGUGCAGUGCCAGGCUGGCCUUGAAUUUAU
rnacentral:snRNA from 1 species